GGGAUUGCCCCAGUAACGGCGAGUGAAGCGGCAACAGCUCAAAUUUGAAAUCUGGUCCCCAGGGCCCGAGUUGUAAUUUGUAGAGGAUGCUUUUGGCGAGGCGCCUUCCGAGUUCCCUGGAACGGGACGCCACAGAGGGUGAGAGCCCCGUCUGGUCGGAUGCCAAGCCUAUGUAAAGCUCCUUCGACGAGUCGAGUAGUUUGGGAAUGCUGCUCAAAAUGGGAGGUAUAUGUCUUCUAAAGCUAAAUACCGGCCAGAGACCGAUAGCGCACAAGUAGAGUGAUCGAAAGAUGAAAAGCACUUUGAAAAGAGGGUUAAAAAGUACGUGAAAUUGUUGAAAGGGAAGCGCCUAUGACCAGACUUGGGCCCGGUGAAUCAUCCAGCGUUCUCGCUGGUGCACUUUGCCGGGCACAGGCCAGCAUCAGUUUGGCGCGGGGGACAAAGGCUUCGGGAAUGUGGCUCCCCUCGGGGAGUGUUAUAGCCCGUUGCGCAAUACCCUGCGCCGGACUGAGGUACGCGCUCCGCAAGGAUGCUGGCGUAAUGGUCAUCAGCGACCCGUCUUGAAACACGGACCAAGGAGUCGUCUUCGUAUGCGAGUGUUCGGGUGUAAAACCCCUACGCGUAAUGAAAGUGAACGCAGGUGAGAGCUUCGGCGCAUCACCGACCGAUCCUGAUGUUCUCGGAUGGAUUUGAGUAAGAGCAUACGGGGCCGGACCCGAAAGAAGGUGAACUAUGCCUGUAUAGGGUGAAGCCAGAGGAAACUCUGGUGGAGGCUCGCAGCGGUUCUGACGUGCAAAUCGAUCGUCAAAUAUGGGCAUGGGGGCGAAAGACUAAUCGAACCUUCUAGUAGCUGGUUUCC
rnacentral:rRNA from 1 species